rnacentral:rRNA from 1 species
GACGAACGCUGGCGGCGUGCUUAACACAUGCAAGUCGAACGGAAAGGGCCUGCUUUUGUGGGGUGCUCGAGUGGCGAACGGGUGAGUAACACGUGAGUAACCUGCCCUUGACUUUGGGAUAACUUCAGGAAACUGGGGCUAAUACCGGAUAGGAGCUCCUGCUGCAUGGUGGGGGUUGGAAAGUUUCGGCGGUUGGGGAUGGACUCGCGGCUUAUCAGCUUGUUGGUGGGGUAGUGGCUUACCAAGGCUUUGACGGGGAGCCGGCCUGAGAGGGUGACCGGCCACAUUGGGACUGAGAUACGGCCCAGACUCCUACGGGAGGCAGCAGUGGGGAAUAUUGCACAAUGGGCGGAAGCCUGAUGCAGCAACGCCGCGUGCGGGAUGACGGCCUUCGGGUUGUAAACCGCUUUCGCCUGUGACGAAGCGUGAGUGACGGUAAUGGGUAAAGAAGCACCGGCUAACUACGUG